rnacentral:rRNA from 1 species
GGUCAAAUCAUCAUGCCCCUUAUACCCUGGGCUACACACGUGCUACAAUGGUGCAUACAAAGAGAAGCGACGCGGCGACGCCAAGCAAACCUCACAAAGUGCAUCUCAGUUCGGAUUGUAGUCUGCAACUCGACUACAUGAAGAUGGAAUCGCUAGUAAUCGCGGAUCAGCAUGCCGCGGUGAAUACGUUCCCGGGUCUU